GGGUCGACCCAAGAAAUGUUUGAGUCGACCCAAGUGAAAGUUGGGUCGACCCAAGGACAGGUUGAGCCGACCCAAGCAUGGGCAGAAGCAUAACGGCUAGUUGUGCAGAAGUGCUUUUUGGACUUCCAACGGCUAUAAACGGCUAGUUUCUUCAAUCCAACGGUCAGAAAGGACUAUUUGGAGGUUGGAGAAGUAUUUAAGAGGGAGUAUUCAUCAGAGGAAGCAAGCUUUGGAAAAUACAUUAAGUGCAUUCAAGAGAGAACCCUAGCAAGGCAAGCUU
rnacentral:lncRNA from 1 species